GGAUUUCAAUUGUGUCCUGGCCAUCCGGUCAGCCACAAGGAGAUCCAUUGCUGCGGUGACCCCAUUUGUGCUUGGAUUUGUGCCACUUUCGUGUAUCGGUGAAUUCUGAGGCGGUGAGGGUUGUUGGACAGAUUUACCAUCGUCGGAAGAGCCACAAACUGCUGAUAAGGGACACGCUUGGUUGAAAAGAUGGAUGUUGGGGUCCAUCAGAUGACUAUGGAGGAUGAAGAAGAUGACUUCAUGCUGUCAAGAAAUUACUUCCUUGCCAAAGAAAUUGGCAGCUCUUCAAGGAAUAAAUCCUCGCAAAAACACGUCGUCGACAUCAAUCAUGUUGACGAACAGGUUUGAUUCACCUCCAAAGUGCAAAUUGUAGUCACUUUCUGUGAUCCUCAUAUUACUUUUCCCUAGAAUUGCAGUUAUCCAUCGACAUAUUAUUGUUUGCUAUUUGGCACAGUUUGUCACUUCCUUGUUAGUUAUUAUACUCUCCUAUUAUGGAUUUUCCUAUUGGUAAGUUGGAGAAUCUAGGUUAGUAUACUGAGAGAGAAAUGCACAUGUUUAAGCUACUUUCUUAAUGGUGUAACUUAUUCCUGUUAUUUAGCAAUAUAUAAUAUUACCUCGUAUUCUCAACAUACGAUACAUAUCGCUUAAAUGCAUAGAUACUUUUUUUGAUCUAAUAUAACAUUUUUGCAUUUCUUAUCUGAUUUUUUAAUAUUUGUUUACUGUUUAGUUUUUACUUCUGAACUUACCCCGUUGUUUUUACUGGUAUCAAGAUUCCCUUGUGGCUAUAUCUUAUCUCCCACUCCAAUGAAUUCUACUGGACUUGGUGGGAUGUUGUUUGGAGUAGCUUUCUGUGACUUCUUAAAUUGUUGUUUAUAUGAAAAAGAUUUACGUUGCUUAGAGGGUUAAAAAGGAAUAUCCUACAGCUGCUCCCAAGUUUAGUCCCUCCUUUGGCUGUUCUUUAGCAAAUUCAAGCUUCACACAAGUGAAUACAAAUAAUAACCAGACAAGUUUACUACUUAUAU